AGAUUGUGAACUGUGCCCAGGCAGCCAGAGGAAACUAUGUUGGAGGUCCAAAGUGGUCUUGACAUGCAUAUUGGCUGUCAGACCUGGGUAUAGGGGCAAAAGACUAAUCGAAUCAUCUAGUUG
rnacentral:ncRNA from 1 species